rnacentral:rRNA from 1 species
UGCAAGUCGAGCGGUAGAGAGAAGCUUGCUUCUCUUGAGAGCGGCGGACGGGUGAGUAAUGCCUAGGAAUCUGCCUGGUAGUGGGGGAUAACGUUCGGAAACGGACGCUAAUACCGCAUACGUCCUACGGGAGAAAGCAGGGGACCUUCGGGCCUUGCGCUAUCAGAUGAGCCUAGGUCGGAUUAGCUAGUUGGUGAGGUAAUGGCUCACCAAGGCGACGAUCCGUAACUGGUCUGAGAGGAUGAUCAGUCACACUGGAACUGAGACACGGUCCAGACUCCUACGGGAGGCAGCAGUGGGGAAUAUUGGACAAUGGGCGAAAGCCUGAUCCAGCCAUGCCGCGUGUGUGAAGAAGGUCUUCGGAUUGUAAAGCACUUUAAGUUGGGAGGAAGGGUUGUAGAUUAAUACUCUGCAAUUUUGACGUUACCGACAGAAUAAGCACCGGCUAACUCUGUGCCAGCAGCCGCGGUAAUACAGAGGGUGCAAGCGUUAAUCGGAAUUACUGGGCGUAAAGCGCGCGU